AUUGAACGCUGGCGGCAGGCCUAACACAUGCAAGUCGAGCGGAGCGGCGGACGGGUGAGUAAUGCCUAGGAAUCUGCCUGGUAGUGGGGGAUAACGUCCGGAAACGGGCGCUAAUACCGCAUACUAUCAGAUGAGCCUAGGUCGGAUAAGCUAGUUGGUGGGGUAAAGGCCUACAAAGGAGACGAUCCGUAACUGGUCUGAGAGGAUGAUCAGUCACACUGGAACUGAGCCACGGUCCAACCUCCUACGGGAGGCAGCAGUGGGGAAUAUUGGACAAGGUUCGAAAGCCUGAUCCAUCCAUGCCUCGUGUGUGAAGAAGGUCUUCGGAUUUUAAAGCACUUUAAGUUGGGAGGCGUUACCAACAGAAUAAGCACCGGCUAACUUCGUGCCAGCAGCCGCGGUAAUUC
rnacentral:rRNA from 1 species